rnacentral:rRNA from 1 species
AGUGAACGCUGGCGGUAGGCCUAACGCAUGCAAGUCGAACGGCAGCACAGUAAGAGCUUGCUCUUACGGGUGGCGAGUGGCGGACGGGUGAGGAAUACAUCGGAAUCUACUUUUUCGUGGGGGAUAACGUAGGGAAACUUACGCUAAUACCGCAUACGACCUACGGGUGAAAGCAGGGGAUCUUCGGACCUUGCGCGAUUGAAUGAGCCGAUGUUGGAUUAGCUAGUUGGCGGGGUAAAGGCCCACCAAGGCGACGAUCCGUAGCUGGUCUGAGAGGAUGAUCAGCCACACUGGAACUGAGACACGGUCCAGACUCCUACGGGAGGCAGCAGUGGGGAAUAUUGGACAAUGGGCGCAAGCCUGAUCCAGCCAUACCGCGUGGGUGAAGAAGGCCUUCGGGUUGUACAGCCCUUUUGUUGGGAAAGAAAAGCAGCAGGUUAAUACCCCGCUGUUCUGACGGUACCCAAAGAAUAAGCACCGGCUAACUUCGUG